rnacentral:rRNA from 1 species
UACGUAGGGUGCGAGCGUUGUCCGGAAUUACUGGGCGUAAAGCGCUCGUAGGUGGUUUGUCGCGUUGUUCGUGAAAACUCACAGCUUAACUGUGGGCGUGCGGGCGAUACGGGCAGACUGGAGUACUGCAGGGGAGACUGGAAUUCCUGGUGUAGCGGUGGAAUGCGCAGAUAUCAGGAGGAACACCGGUGGCGAAGGCGGGUCGCUGGGCAGUAACUGACGCUGAGGAGCGAAAGCGUGGGGAGCAAACAGG